CGUUGCGGAGCGCAGGCUCCGGACGCGCAGGCUCGGCGGCCACGGCUCACGGGCCCAGCCGCUCCGCGGCACGUGGGAUCCUCCCGGACCGGGGCACGAACCCGCGUCCCCUGCAUCGGCAGGCGGACUCUCAACCACUGCGCCACCAGGGAAGCACCCGUUCAGUGCUUUUUUGCAAAGUGGCGUCUGACAUUCCCCAUGGUUACUGCUGCUCGCCGGGCGGUCCCUGGGUCCUUCCCCACACUCUUCACGUCAUCCUCUGGCUGCCCUCUGAGCGGGGACUACCGUUAACCUCUCUGCGUGACCAAGGAAACCAGGGCGUGGAGGUCACGUGACACCGGCAGGGUCAGCAGCAGAGGCGGCCGGGGUCCUGACCACUGUGGCUCGCGGCCUCGAGACCAUCAGGUGACUUAGCUCACGUCCGGAGCCCAGCAGAGCCCACUUGCUCCCAGCGGUGUCUCUGAACGCGACAGCACCUAGGACAAUUGGAACCUACCUGACAGACUAAAGAGAGUGAUGGAGAAAAUGCUGAUAUGCAGGUGAAGGUUAAGCGUGUGACGUCCGUCCCGUCGCGUUCACUGCGAAGGCACAGGAAGGUUGAGGAAACCUCCUGCUGUUAGAAUCCUGUCGUCUGCUUCAGCAAGGACAUCUCUCGUCCUAGACAAACGAAUAAGUUUUCAAGUUAGAAAAGCAACGGGAAAGGACGCGUGGAGAGGAGUUUCACAGGCACCCGCAAGCCUCAAGCAGGGUCCUGCGUCACCUGCGGUCUGUGUAGAUGCCAGUCGUCCGUAACGGUGACCUCGGUGCAGCAACGUCUUGUCAC